CAAUCAAACAAGUUAAUUUCCUUAUAAGAGUAAACCUCUUUGUUUUCUUUUUUUGAAAAGAAAUUUAUCAAAUUAUAUGCAUAUAUUUUAUCAUCUCUUUUUUAAAUGAAUAUAUUUAAGUACAUUUUGACGGCUACGGAAGACGAAAUCCGGCAGCCAAUAAGAGAGAGUUUGGAGAAAACAUGGCGGUUCAGAUCGAAAUGUAAACAAAGUGAUUCAUUUAGGCGCUCGGCUAUCAUAAUAAAAACAUUAAACAAUAUUGUGAUAAAUUUAAAGCAUACAAGGAAGAAAUUUGUCCUAAAGGUUCAGAUUUUAAAUAUAAUUAGGACUACGGUUUCUUUACAAUAUCGGAGUCCCUAGAAUCAGCUGUUUGCAUUAGCCGGUGGCCAAAUAGCUACCAUCUGUUUAUAAGCGGUAGCCAAAAUGGAAAUUCUGGUAGCAUUUGGCUACUUGGCUACCAGGUUUGUCGAGCCCUGUUAACUUACAUGUCAUAAU
rnacentral:lncRNA from 1 species